AACGAACGCUGGCGGCAGGCUUAACACAUGCAAGUCGAACGGGUGCAGCGAUGCAUCAGUGGCAGACGGGUGAGUAACACGUGGGAACCUUCCUAGGGGUACGGAACAACUCAGGGAAACUUGAGCUAAUACCGUAUGUGUCCGAGAGGAGAAAGAUUUAUCGCCCUUAGACGGGCCCGCGUCGGAUUAGCUAGUUGGUGGGGUAACGGCCUACCAAGGCGACGAUCCGUAGCUGAUCUUAGAGGAUGAUCAGCCACACUGGGACUGAGACACGGCCCAGACUCCUACGGGAGGCAGCAGUGGGGAAUCUUGGACAAUGGGCGCAAGCCUGAUCCAGCCUUGCCGCGUGAGUGAAGAAGGUCUUCGGAUUGUAAAGCUCUUUUGCCAGGGACGAUAAUGACGGUACCUGGAGAAUAAGCCCCGGCAAACUUCGUGCCAGCAGCCGCGGUAAUAC
rnacentral:rRNA from 1 species